UGGUGGAGUGAUUUGUCUGGUUAAUUCCGAUAACGAACGAGACCUUAACCUGCUAACUAGGGGCGAGAAAGUUUCUUUCUCGACUCACUUCUUAGAGGGACUUUGCGUGUCUAACGCAAGGAAGUUUGAGGCAAUAACA
rnacentral:rRNA from 1 species